CAAAAGCUAUUCACACUCCCACCGACAUCGUCCUCUUCUUCUCAGCACAGCACAGCCACCGCACAGCACACCGCAGCCACCACCGCACCCCUUCACGCCGGCCAGCACAGUCACCAUUGCCCCCGACGCCGUCCUCUUCUUCUCACCACAGCACAGCCACCACACAACACACCGUCCUGCCGCCGCACCGCCGCACCAAAGUCAGAUGAUAAUUGUUGUAAUUCGUGUGAAGAAGUUCGUGAAGCAUACAGAAAAAGAGGCUAGGUGAUCACAAACCCAUAUUUAAUAGAUCAGCUAAUAUAAUCAGGUGGUCAAACCAACUAACACAAUCAGCUAUUAGUUAUCAGUUAACUCAACCAGCUAUCAGCUAUCAGCUAAUUGCCAAACACCUCCAAGGCAGGGAGCAUGUCUCCAAGAGAUCAGUUAUUACGUGAGAGAGCUGCCAUACAUGAAAGUAUUUCUCAUGAAUUUGAACUACUCAUAUAGAUAUGAAGGGCACAGUGACACUGGGAAAAAUAAUCCUUAAUCUGGAUCAAGACAAGUAUCAUUCUGAAGUUGUAAAUGCCCCCAAGACAUUUGGCAUAACUGCAUUAGUAUAUCAGAAUUCUUUUGCUAGCUUCAUUGGUGUUAUUUGUCAUCAUCUUCCUAGCAACAAAGGAAAUUAUAUGUAAA